rnacentral:piRNA from 1 species
CCCUAGGAAAAGAGGAAAAUGGUGACCCUC